CUGGUGAGCGGGCAAGCUAAGCACCACACCCAAUCGAAGGAUUUGCUAGAAAACAUAUGUACUUAGCCUUAUCCAAUACCUAGCCUGCUCGUAUCAGUUUCCCUAGGCGGAACCACAAUCCCUAGCCACCGCCUGCCAAUCCUCAACUGCAACCACCGGUCGCCAGGCUGCCCGCCCAGCUCCGGCGCCCUCCACUCGCCGCAGCCGCCGCAUUACCCGCCCAGCACCACCCCGUCACGGCUUCGGCGCUGCCUCCCACCCAGCACCGCCACUCAAGGCAGGCAGCUCCGGCGCUUCUCCCGCCUGACUCGGCAGCUCCGCCACCUCCCGUGAUGCCUUGAAUUAUUUGUGAUUUGAAAGCAACUGAUGACUCAAUAUCAAUCAGUGCACGGAGGGAACUCUUCUCCACCAUGCUGACGACAGGAAAGGGGAAAAUCCAGUCUGCGGUGCCAUCGAUGAACAAGGUAAACACGAGCUGUCGUUCGCUUAUAAAUUCCAUAAUUCAGUAGUAUCGAUCUAGGGUUCAUGUGAGUGAAUCUUACUGUUCUUCGGACCGUGUAUAAAAAUGCUGCUCUGUUAUCAGUUGUAGCUGCAGUUCUAUUGUUGUGAGUCUCUCUCAUGGUCCAAUAGAAUGCCCUUUUCAGAGAAAUACUCCAGAUCUAUUUACUAUGAUUUAGUUCUGGUAUUGAUUUUUAUUUAGUAUGAAUACUCACAUAAUGAGUCUAUUAAACGAUCUAAAUACCACCUAUUCACGGAUUACUUGUGCCGCUAUUUUUUUUACUUAUCGCGCCAUUCUUUACGUUUGUAUUGCAACAAAGUAAAUUUUGUAGGCUCAGAGAAAUCUUCUGGAUUGUUUAGACCACAUAUUUGUUUUCUUUCUCAAUAGUCAUGAUGCACAACGUAGUAAUUUUGAUUUUUCAUUUGGAUGUUAUAUACUCUUUACAAGAUCUACAAGUUGCACACAAUUCAUAUUUGAUGUUUAGUCUUGCUAAUUCUCGAAACAUUCCCAUGUUUGUUCUCCUACAGAGCUUUUGAUAUCUUAUCUAUACUCAUGCUUAAAAGAUACUCCCUCUGUAACUAAAUAUUAGAAGUUUUUGUAGUUCAAUUUGAACAACAAAAAUGUCUUAAUAUUUAGUCAUAGGGUAGUACUUGUCUUGGUUGAUUGCUUUAUGAAGAAAGUAGACCAUUUUAGAUCAAAGAUAUGGAUUUAUGAUAGUUUUGAGACAGAGAGGAAGAAAUAACAAGUUUGGGAAAUGAUGAAACUUCAAAAAAUUAUGACAAUUUGAUUCAGCAUGUGGUUAGGUCAUGCUCUUAGGAGAUAAAUGUUCUUCUGUAAUUUUAGUUUCAAGUACUUUUGAUUGAUAAUAAGAAGGAUAUGUGUUUAUUGAUUGUUUUAUACUACUAUUAUUUAGGUGAUGCAAAUCAAUAUCUUGCUUUGUCUAUGCUAUGAAGUGGCCUAAGCGCUAUACCACGGGGAACCAGGAACGGUUACUUUCCUGGUGACCUUAUUAUUCGGUAUGGUGCUUGCAAAUUGAUCUUUUGUUGUGUUUAUUCACUGAAGCUUGUACUGUCAAACAGAGUUGCUAUUGCAUUGAUGCCUUGGAAUGUUGUUAAAUCAAGUAAUGCAGCUGAAUUUGUCUGCUACUCCCCCUGUCCCAAAAUAUAAGAACGUUUUUAACACUACACUAAUGUCAAAAACGUUCUUAUAUUAUGGGACGGAGGGAGUACAUGUUAAUCUUGCUCUUUGAUACUUGUUCACAAUUGUUUACUUGAUGCUUGAUGGCAACUGCUAUUCUUACAAGACUAUCAAUCUGAGAUAUUAUCAUAACUCAGAAAAAUGAGAUGUGCACAUAUGUUUGUAUUUUGAUUUACUAAUGGUUUCCUUCAUGUGAAUGUUUUAUUGCAUUAUCCGAUUUCUAAUCUGUAGUAAAUGUGACACAAGUUUAUCAUUUAUCAUUGUAUGGAGUGAACCGAGGCAGCAACUAGCUGGACGUGGAAGUGUUGUUGCUGAAGGAGAAGUAUGAGGUUGUGCUUGAGAAGAUCUCCAGGCUGGAGGAGAUGGCUUCUCUAUUCAUUUAUUUUCUCCCUGAAGUCCUUUGUUGUGAUGUAUUUGCUAGCAUGGGAUGUCGGAUUCAGAGCAACAAGGCGACUAAAGGAUGGGGUUAUCGCAAGGAGGCACACACAUGGAUGAUCGGUGAGGUCGCUAGAGCUUAUGAGGUGGAGUGAGGAACAAGAGCAGAACGGAUUCUGUCGCCAUGAUGUUGAAUGGGAUGUGCACCACUGUUUUUGUGCCUAUAUUAAAGUAUAUUUGUGUGAUGAGCAGCUACAGCUUGUGUUUGCAAAUUUGUUCCUUUUUAGCUUUAACCAUUUUUUGUGAAGAGAAUAUUUUGUAAACCAGUGCAAACUUUGCCUGAAUUACCAUCCAUUUGGCAAAAUGUUAAAGCAGAUUAGAUCAUUCCUCGCAAUAAGCAUUGGAGUGAAGUUUCAACCCA